UUGGUGGUGCUUGUCAAAGGCUUCGUAGCAGCGGCCCUGGCAGGAGGAAAGGGGUUCUGAGUUGCAAAUCAGAAACUUGAAGAUGAAAUGGCUACUACGCUGGGUAUUGCCUUUAUCUUGAAUGCCAGCCUGAUGGUCCAAGGUGAACAAGCCUUCCUGUGUUUUCUGAAUGUUCCCCCGCACUUUGCCUGCCACCAUGUAAGAUGUGUCUUUGCGCCUCCUUUGCCUUCCACCAUGAUUGUGCGGCCUCCCCAGCCAUGUGGAACGGCUGGAAAUGAUGGUAUGGAGAUGUUGCACCACGUGGUCCCUUCACUAGAGGAAGAGUGGUAUGAAUCGUGUCCGUCACUGUGACACCAUGCAGUCUUCCUGGCAGUACACAAGUUGUGAGAGUUUGCUACCAUUUUUACAUUUUUGUGAUUUAAAGUGUUGAAUAACAAUUAAUAAUGUCAUACAUACUAAA
rnacentral:lncRNA from 1 species